rnacentral:lncRNA from 1 species
AGAGUUAAGUGGUGGAGUUUAGGAUUUAGGGUUUAUGGUUUAGGGUUUAGAGUUUAGGGUUUAUAGUUUAGGGGUGGGGUUUAGGAUUUAGGGUUUAGAGUUAAGGAGUGGGGUUUAAGAUUUAGGGUUUAGGGUUUAGAGUUUAGAGGUGGGGUUUAGGUUUAGGGUUUAUAGUUAAGGGGUGGGGUUUAGGAUUUAGGGUUUAGGGUUUAGGGUUUAGGUUUUAGGGUUUAGGUUUUAGGGUUUAGGAUUUAGAGUUUAGGGUUUAGAGUUUAGGGUGGGGUUUAGGGUUUAGUGUCUUGAACCAACCGGUGUUUUGUGUAGACCGAGACAACAUGCAUAAGACAACUUCAUUUUUUCGUAGAACUUAGUUCCCUAUUGUGUUCAUUGUGGCCCUGAACUAUUCCUGGUUUUCAUGAGUAAACUUAGAAAAUAUAGCCUUGCAUUCAUUCUCAUAGAAACGGCCCCAUUUCACACUCAUUAGGUGAUUGACCAUGAAAAGUAUUGAGUAAUACUCCGCUUUGGAAGCUAUGGAAUCAUUAAAAGCUUAUGCUUAUCCUUCUCAGAUUUGUUAGCACUUUUAUCAUCUUAAGAACUGGGAAGAGACUACUUUGUCUCAAGUGCUUUGGUUAGAUUCAGUUUGAUUUUGUUUUCCCUUUGAACCUACGUCUUGUGAUCUCCAGUCAUGAUAGGUAGGGCUGCAAUCAAGCAUCUUCAUUCGUUAUAGGCUUUAAACUCAUUCCUUUUGAUGAUUUAGCAACAACAUCUCGUGACAAAUCUUUUGUAAAUGGAUCCGCUAGGUUGUCAGCCGAUUUGAUGUAGUUUAUUGUGAUUACACCAGUUGAGAUAAGUUGUCUAAUUAAUUAUAUACAUAAAUAAUAGAUAAAAAUUAGUUUUAUAUAUAACAUUCAUCCCGCGGAAUCGCGCGAGUUACAACUUAAACGUGUUGGACGUUGGCCCAACAUCAUUCAAGUUGGCCUAGUCCGAAGACCAAUCAAAAUCAUUUAGGCGUCAUAUCGACCCAUAAAAAGAGAAACCCACAUUUUUGCAAGUUCGUUCAUAAAGCCUUUAUAAUCUUGGGAUUAGACAACGGAUAGUGUCAGCAUACUAGGGUUGGACAUCACCGAUUGUAGUUGCUUCACUAACCACCAACUACAAACAAAAAAAAACUUGGAUAUUUUAACGUGAUACGUCUUCGCAAUGUGCUGUUACGAUGACCUAUGAAUCAACUGAUCAACUUCUUAGAGUUAGGAGAAUCAGCAUAUAAUUAAAGAGAGUUCGGUUGACGACUCAUUCACAAUUCGGUUGAUGACAUGUUAUUCUCUAUAUACUCUUCUGCUCCAUGUACCUUUGUACCGAGCCCCUCUCUUUCUCUCAUUUUUUUUUGUUGAUUGAAAUACCCGUCAGCAAAAAGACAUCUAUCAAAAGUUGCUCCUACGAACUAAACUUUAGUGUGGGUCAAUAGUUGAUGAAAGGUAUCUACAAAUUAAAGCCAGCUAGUUCCUCCAAUAAUGGUCAACUUAGGCAUCUACAAACCAAUAUUUUCAUCAUUUCCAAACAAUCUCCCAUAAGAUAAAACUAAAUUUUCACAGAUAACAAGGUUGUAGAAUAAAAUCAAAUAAAGUGACAAACUCAAAAUCCUUUCAAAUCAUAGAUUAAUCAAAUCAAAACACUACCAAAAGAGUGUUCACGUCUAUACAUACACAUUAGAUAACAACUAUUAUUCAAAUACCACUGCCUCUUCUUCUCCAAUCUUACAUUACCUCAAUAUAGUAUACAGAGAGAAAGACAGAGAAGAACUAGUACCAUCAUGAUCUCACAUGUCUAAAUUCUCCAACUGAAUGUUGCUCUUAAGAGGCACAUAAUCUCCAAGAUACCCACCAAGAUGAUCAUACAAAGCCGUCUUAUCAAUAGUCUGAUGAUGAUAACUCUUGCAAACGUAAUAAAACACACUCUGAACCAACAAACCCACCAAAUUCACCAUCACAAGAACACCAACAAGCAACCCACCAACAAGGGUCCUAGUCAAAGUCCCAAACUUUCCUCCUCCAUGAACCACAAUCGAUCCAAAAGUACCUCCAAUUAAUGCACAGAGAAAAAGGUAAACAAAGACCAACCCCAUAGCCAUCUUAGUCUUCCCCUUAAGAAGCUCAUAAGCUUUUCUCAUGGCAGAAAGUCCAUAAACAGGCUCAAGAACAGAGAUCACACUACCUAGAUGCCAUAGGGCAGUGAAAUAGACAUGAACAACAAAGUAAAGAACAGAGAUUAUAACUCCAGCGAUGACCGCUAAGCCUACACUGUUCAUAUCGAGAGCUAUGAAUAGUAUCACUAGGAAAACAAAGAAGACAGCGUUGUAAGCGAACAUCAAGAGUGCAACCCAAAGAAAAGUGAUCAAGAGGCGUUUAAAGACUUUGGGGAUGGCGGAGAUGGUGGAGGAGAAGGAGACUGUUUUGCCGGUGUAGAGAGAAGCAACGGUGAAGACUACGGCGGCGGUUGAGAGGAGAGAGAAGGCGAAGAGGAAGAUGAGGUAGCUGAACUCGAAGAUGAGGAGCACGGUCCAGUCGUGGCGGGAGCGAUCGGAGUUAGGUGGGUCGGAGGAGGAGAGCUUGGAGAGAAUGGGCUGAGUGAAGAGGGAGUGAGCGAGGAUGGCGAAGGAGAGAGGGAAGAUGAGGGAGAGGGUGAUGAGGUAGAAGGUUCUUGGAGAUCGUUUCUUGAUUGAGAUGGAUUCUUCAACUAGUUGAGGGAUCGUCAAGAACUGGAGUUCUUCUGGCUGCAGAUCCAUGCCUUGUUUCUUCUGUGAGAAUUCUGAAAGGAAGAUGAGAUUUGUUUCUGAAUGCCCCCAAGAGGAUGAAUAUUGAAGACGAAGACUUUUGGUGGAAACUUCAACCAAACUAUUAUUAUCAUGUUUGUGUGUUUCUUUGACCCGUUUGACCAAUUUUUUUUUUUCUUUAAUAGAAUUAUUCUUUGCUUAAUACUCCAUGUAAAGUCUUCUUCUAUGGGCAGACUUCUUCUUUUUUUCUUGCAUGAUGAUGGGACGCAAUCCAGGAAGUAAGACUUUCCAUCUUCUCCUAUUUUUUAGCAAGACUUUUUAUUUGAACAAUCGCUUUUUGUUUUUUCUUUGGUUAAUAGUGAAAAUUCCGGACCUUUUAAGUCUUUUGACACCUCUAGCAUAGAUUGGUUGACAAUAUAGGAAACAUGAUUUAACUCUUUAAAUUGCAAGAUCAUUAAAAAGCAAAUUGUGUUCUUAAGCCAAUUAACAGACUAAAAGCAUGGAUGAGAGGUAGAAAACAUGUGGUUUUCUUGUCAAUCUUUCUCAUAUCGUUGCUUUUCAGAUCAUAACCGAGAACAUGAAAGGGAGAAAAGCAAAUCAUGUGGUAUCAAUAAAACCAUGCCAUUAUAACUUUACCUUAAAAUAAAUGUUAUUGACCAAAUGGAGCUGAUAAAGGUUGCAAAACCUAAGUCUUCCACCAUUCAUUGUUCUCGUCAUUUUCCAAACCUCAUAAAUCCACCGUACCCUUAUGCAUUUAAUAUUAAAUAUUACUUUUAAAUCUAUGUGAAAAUUCUAAAAAACUAAUUCUACUAGAAACAUAGGUAUAGUAAUUGUUAACUACUUUUCUUUUAAUUUUAACAGAAUUUUCAUAUAUUAAAAUAAUAUUUAAUCAUAAAUGAAUAAAAAUAAAGUAAACAAAUUCUAUAAAUGUAAAAUGAUAUUAAUCCAAUAGUACAAUUAGUUUCUAUAUAUCUUUUUACACUUAGAAUUAUUACCAUUAAUUAAUUAAUAAUGCAUGAAAUAUAUCUUUACCAAAACAAAAUAACUUUCUUAUAAAUUCAUUUUUUUAGGAACGGAUAGUUUAUUUUACCAAAUGAUAGGUAACAACUAGUAAAUCAGAGACGAGAAAAGGAUUACAAUUAACAGAAUUUGAACAGCUAGAACAGUAACUGAUUUUGCCCAAAGAAAAAGAACAGUCAUUGAUGAGCUCGCUGAUUGUACAUGAUUUGGUUUGGCAUGAAUCUCUCUUCCUAACCAGGUGGCCACUUCAUCUGUCGGCCCCCAAGGACGUGGAGAUGAAGAUGGUAAACGGAUUGGCCUUGAUGAGAGGAAGUUAAGUGAGUUAAGUGUAUGAUAAUGAUGAUGAAUACAAAUUAGGAUGAUAUUUGGUUGGAUGGAAAAGACUUACAUCCUUCAGCACCGUUGUUUAUAACCACACGGAACCGAUCCACAAUGCCUUCUUUCUCAGCAACAAUCUUUGAUGCGUGCAGAAGUUGACCUAGAACUUCUAUGUGUCUUGGCUCAGCCUGCAAGAGUGUUUCACAGGAAGACAAUGUUCAGGUAAGAUAUUAAUCUAUUCCUCCAAAAGAAAAACUUAACUCUUCUUUCCACAAAGACUAUUUCCUCUAAUUACAAGAUUAUGAAUGAUCAGAAACACAGGACAUAACCCACAAUGCUGCUAGUCAUUACUCGUUACGAAACAACAUAACAAUUGGCCACAAGAUGAGACUCUGUGACAUGUGGACUGUAAAACCUAUUCGAUUGUGAUGGAAACACACACAAGGACCUAUUUGUUUUCCGCAAUUGCUUUCGAAUGUGCAACCCCGAGAAAGACCAACAUGGUUUCUUUCUUUAAAACUAGAAUGUGAAUCUCUAUUUCAACCUUACUAGAGAGGCAGAUUGAAUGCUAAAUUUAAAAAUUGGUCACCUUGCCAAGCGUGGUCAAGCCAUCUCUCAACUUAGGGAUGACCAAAACAUGAACAGGAGCCUGUGGGUUUAUGUCUCUGAAUGCCAAAACAUUCUCAUCUUCAUAGACAAUGUCUGAUGGAAUCUCUUUCGCUAUGAUCUUGUCAAAUCUAAAAACAAGAGCAUAAGAAUCAUUUCUAAACCCAUCACCAACAUAACAAACUAGGUCAGAUGUCUGAAAGAUUAGGCUCAUUUGUAUCAAAACACAAAAACAUGGAUUGUUCUGUAAUCAGUUAUUGAACUACAAUCCUUCAGACAAAGCGUACAUGGUCGGGGCUCCGGUGUCAGAAGCAGCUUUCGCGGCGGCCUCUUCAUUGUGUGCGGCACGAGUAGAAGAGAUGGAUCUGCCGAGCGAUAUAAACCAAAAUAAACGAGGAACUCAAAAUUAUCCACAUAUACAAAAACGAACUGAUUGAUUUUGACCUUGGAGAAGCAAUACGAGGAAGAACCCGAAUAAUCUCUCCGGCAGAGAAGAUUCUUGAAUUCGCUCGAACAGACUGAGCAAUCCUCCCCACCGUAGGGAGGUUCCUGAACACGAUACACACAUUAGCAAAUCAAUUCAACAACCAGCUCAAUUAUAUCUGUAGUUGACCAGUUUUACCGGAGCAGCAUCAUAGAGGAGGAAGUGACAGCCAUUCAAGAAGCUCUGCUUCGGCAACCAUUUCGAUCGACUUCGUAGCGAGUCUUUGUACAGACCUCAUCGUAGCGAAUCCUGAUAGAAACGACGUCGUAAUGAAUCUUUAUAUUUUGUUCACAUAAUAUUAUUUAGAGAAAAUGAGUAGGAUAACGCUAAAAAAAGUUUUUUUCACAAAUAUAGGUUCUAAAAAUAAAAAUGACCAAAAUAGCACUUAAUGUUUUAUCAAAAGAGAUAAAUAUACAUUUAUACCCCAAUGGUAAAUUAAUUUAGACAUUAUGAUUUAGAGUUAAGUGGUGGAGUUUAGGAUUUAGGGUUUAUGGUUUAGGGUUUAGAGUUUAGGGUUUAUAGUUUAGGGGUGGGGUUUAGGAUUUAGGGUUUAGAGUUAAGGAGUGGGGUUUAAGAUUUAGGGUUUAGGGUUUAGAGUUUAGAGGUGGGGUUUAGGUUUAGGGUUUAUAGUUAAGGGGUGGGGUUUAGGAUUUAGGGUUUAGGGUUUAGGGUUUAGGUUUUAGGGUUUAGGUUUUAGGGUUUAGGAUUUAGAGUUUAGGGUUUAGAGUUUAGGGUGGGGUUUAGGGUUUAGGGUUUAGAGUUAAGGGGUGGGGUUUAGGAUUUAGGAUUUAGAGUUUAGGAUUUAGGGUUUAGAGUUUACGGUUGGGGAUUUUGCAAUAAGAUUUCAAAUUUGGAAAAAUAAAAAAAGUUUAAAUUUUUCAAAAGAUAAAAUGCUAUUUUGGUAAUUUUAGGUUUUGAGGGCUAUUUUUGUGACAUAAACUUAGAAAUGUGUUAUUUUGAAGAUUUGCCAUGUUAUUUAUGUUAUAAAAAUAAUGGAAAAUAUGUUUUUAUUUAUAACAUAGAUGUUCCUUAUAUAGGAGAUUAC